AAUAAGUUUUGCACUAUUCAUCUCCAACGUUUGACUGUUCGUCUUAUUUGAAAUUUUUUUAUGAUUAUUAUUUUUAUUGUUAUUAGAUGAUAAAACAUGAAUAAUACUUUAUGUGUGACUAAUUUUUUUAAAAAAAAUUUAUAAAUUUUUCAAAUAAGAUGGACGGUCAAACAUUGGACACGGAUUUUCACAGCAGCAUUUACU
rnacentral:pre_miRNA from 1 species